rnacentral:rRNA from 1 species
GAUGAACGCUGGCGGCGUGCUUAACACAUGCAAGUCGAACGGGAUCCAAGGGGUGCUUGCACUUUUUGGUGAGCGUGGCGCACGGGUGAGUAACACGCGAGUAACCUGUCUUUUUCUUUGGGAUAAGCAUUCGAAAGGGUGCUUAAUACCUUCUGUUCUGUCUGCCUUGCAUGGGGUGGGUGGGAAAGGCUUUGGCCGGUUUUGGGUGGGCUCGCGGUCUAUCAGCUUGUUGGUGGGGUGAUGGCGUACCAAGGCUUUGGCUGGUAGCGGGCCUGAGAGGGUGGUGGGUCAGAUAGGGGCUGAGGAACGGUCCAGGAGGCUGCGGUGGGCAGCAGUGGAGGAUAGUGCACAAUGGGCGAAAGCCUUAUGGAGCGAGGCCGCAUGGGGGUUGAAGGGCUUCGGGUUGUUGACUUCUUAUACUCGGAACAAGGCAUGCCAGUGGGUGUGUGGAGUGUAGGAGAUGAUUAGCGCCGGCUAACUACGUG